rnacentral:tRNA from 1 species
GAGAGAGGUAAUAUACAAUAAGAACUGCUAAUUCCUAUGUCUGAGAUUAACGCCUCAGCUCACUCA